GUGAAUCAUCAAAUUUUUGAACGCAAAUUGCACUCUCUGGUAUUCUGGAGAGUAUGCCUGUUUGAGGGUCAGUUUAAAUAAAAAUCGGUGUGGUUGCUGUCUUUCGUUGUGACGAACCGGAUUUUGGUCGUAUUGGCUUCGGUUAAGUGACCUAAAUUUUGGCAUGAUUUUUUUCGAAAGUAUUCAAAUGAUUGUACGCACGUUUGAGAUAUAUAAUACUAGGUGUGGUUAUCUUCAGGAUUAGCGCCUAGAAUUGUUA
rnacentral:misc_RNA from 1 species